CUUGCGGGCUCCGGAGACGCCGGCCGCUUGCUGGCUUCCUGCAUUUCCCAAGGAAAGAAGGCUUUUUUUUUCCUCAGUACUGUAAAAGGGCGGAAACAGACAGAGAUGAAAACUCACUAUGCUGCCCAGACUCGUCUCGAACUCCUGGGUGUCACGCGUGUCCGUAUAGAAGACCACCUAAACAAGCUUUGUACGGAGUUUCUCUCUUCUUGCCAAGCUGGAGUGCAAUGGCGCGAUCUCAGGUUCAAGCAAUUCUCCCGUCUCAGCCUCCUGAGUAGCUGGGAUUACAGGCAUGCGCCACCAUGCCCGGCUAAUUUUGUAUUUUUAGUAGAGACGGGGUUUCUCCAUGUUGCUCAGGCUGGUCUUGAACUCCCGACCUCAGGUGAUCUGCCUGCCUUGGCCUCCCAAAGUUCUGGGAUUACAGACGUGAGCCAUCGUGCCCAGUCUGAGAGUUCUAAGUUCUUAGAAGGUGGUUGUGUUUAGCUACUAAAAUUUUAUUGGUAGCAAUAAUCAUCUAAUGGAAAUUCAGAGAAGUGAUUUUAAAGAUUUGAAUUCCAAAACCCUAUACAAAUGUUUUAUUUUACCACAAAUGAAUUUAUCUGCAACACCUGAGUUGUGGGCGGAAAGCCACCCGGUGCCGAGGCAAGAGACCGAGGGCACGAGCUGUUCCAGUAUAAUAAAGAAAAUAUAUAAAAUAAGAAUAGUUAUACUAGAUCUAGAUCAUAGAUAUGAUUAUAUAUGAAUAUCAUUAAUCAUUAGUUUGUAGCAAUUACUCUUUAUUCCAAUAUUAUAAUAAUCCCCACUCUACAAUCAUAACCUAGGAAAAACCAGGCCAUACAGAGAUAGGAGCUGAAGGGGCACGGUGAGAAGUGACUAGAAGACAAGAGUGCGAGCCUUCUGUCACACCCAGACAGGGCCACUAGAGGGCUCCUUGGUCUAGUGGUAAUGCCAGCGUCUGGGAAGGCACCUGUUACUUAGUGGACCUUGGUCUAGCGGUAGCGUCAGUGCCUAGAAAAGGCACCCGUUACUUAGCGGACCAGGAAAGGGAGUCUCUCUUUCCCCGGGGGAGUUAGAGAGGACUCUGCUCCACCGCCUCUUGUGGAAGGCCUGACAUCAGUCAGGCCCGCCCGCAGUUAUCCGGAGGCCUAACCGUCUCCCUGUGAUGCUGUGCUUCAGCGGUCACGCUCCUGUUUCACUUUCCUGUUCCACUCUGUACACCUGGCUCCGCCCUCUAGAUAGCAGUAGCAGAAUUAGUAAAAGUACUAAAAGUCUCUGAAAUGCAGAAAUAAUGGCAUAAGCUGUCUCCUCUCUCUCUCCACCAGGGCUGCCAAACAGGGAGGGGCCCCCUGUCCGGUGGAAACGUGACUCAUGUGACCUUAUCAAUCACUGGAGAUGACUCACACUCCUUACCCUGCCCCUUUUGCUCUGUAUCCAAUAAAUAUCAGCACGGCCAGGUAUUCGGGGCCACUGCUGGUCUCCGCAUCUUGGUGGUAGUGGUCCCCCGGGCCCAGUUGUCUUUUCUUCUAUUUCUUUGUCUUGUGUCUUUAUUUCUACGAUCUCUCGUCGCCGCACAAGGGGAGAAAGAGC